rnacentral:rRNA from 1 species
GUGCCAGCCGCCGCGGUAAUACGAGGGGUGCUAGCGUUGUCCGGAAUUAUUGGGCGUAAAGGGUUCGUAGGCGUUUUGAUAAGUCAAUUGUUAAAUACAUCGGCUUAACCGAUGGAGUGCAUUUGAAACUAUCAAAAUAGAGUAUAGGAGAGGAAAGCGGAAUUCCUGGUGUAGCGGUGACAUGCGUAGAUAUCAGGAAGAACACCAAUGGCGAAGGCAGCUUUCUGGCCUAUUACUGACGCUGAGGAACGAAAGCGUGGGGAGCGAACAGGAUUAGAUACCCUGGUAGUCCACGCCGUAAACGAUGAGUACUUGGUGUCGGAAGAUUCAACCCUUUCGGUACCGGAGCUAACGCAUUAAGUACUCCGCCUGGGGACUACGACCGCAAGGUUGAAACUCAAAUAAAUUGACGG